GCGAACGGGUUAGUAACGCGUGGGAACAUACACAGCACAGGGGGAUAACCAUUGGAAACGAUGGCUAAUACCGCAUACGCCCUAUUGGGGAAAGAUUUAUCGGUGUUGGAUUGGCCCGCGUUAGAUUAGCUAGUUGGUGGGGUAAUGGCUCACCAAGGCGACGAUUUAUAGCUGGUUUGAGAGGAUGAUCAGCAACACUGGAACUGAGACACGGUCCAGACUCCUACGGGAGGCAGCAGUCGGGAAUAUUGUGCAAUGGGGGCAACCCUGACACAGCCAUGCCGCGUGAGUGAAGAAGGCCUUAGGGUUGUAAAGCUCUUUCAGAUGUGAGGAUGAUGACGAUAGCAUCAGAAGAAGCUCCGGCUAACUUCGUGCCAGCAGCCGCGGUAAUACGAAGGGAGCUAGCGUUGUUCGGAAUUACUGGGCGUAAAGGGCGUGUAGGCGGAUUAUCAAGUUAGGGGUGAAAUCCCGGGGCUCAACCUCGGCACUGCCUUUAAGACUGAUAAUCUAGAGUAUGUGAGGGGAUAAUGGAAUACCUAGUGUAGAGGUGAAAUUCG
rnacentral:rRNA from 1 species